rnacentral:sRNA from 1 species
CCAUAGCCCUGAUGGGAACGGCAUCCUUUUUUGGCAAUGUGGGGAAAAGCUACAAUUAAGAUACUUUACGCCAAUCGCAAUGACAAAAAAGAUACAGUGGACAGCAGGUUCCCGG